rnacentral:lncRNA from 1 species
UCGAAUAUCGGCGGCCACUGCAGCGGCAUGUAGGAGAGCUCCUCGGCGGGCUUCUCGCCGUCGCUGUUGGAGGCCAAGCUGUCGUAGCUGUUACUGCGGGAGAAGGCCGACGACACCCUGAUUGGCUUGGGCAGGUAGACCUUGAUCUUAGGCGGCGGGGUAGGCUCGUCGGCGGCGCUCUCGUCCUUUAACGGCGAGGGAGGGGUGGGCUUCUGCUUGGACUUCUUCUUCUUGGGCUUGGCGGCGAGGUUGGGGAGGUCUUUGUGAGGGGCGUUGGGCUUGCCGCUGCCGCUGGUUUUGGAAGCUCUCUUCAUUUUUUGGAAUGGCGAUCGAAACUGUCGCCGGUGAGUUACUCCACAAACUGAUUUGAAUUGGCUAAGAAUGUUUUGGUUUUGGAUUAUGAACGAUGAUGAUUCGUUUCUGAGUACCUAUGGUUAAACCUGCUCUGAUACCAUGUUGAAACAUUGUAUCAUCAUAAUGCACAGAGAAAGAGAAGCUAAAGAUUGUAAUUGUAUUUCUUAUAUCUUCUGCUGAUACACUUCCCCCAUUUAUAGUGUUGGAAGGGAGAUCAUAUUUAAUAUUUGCUUCUACAACAUCAUGAGGAUUCCUACAACAUCAUGAGGAUUCCUACACCAUCAUGAGGAUCCCUAUAAUUAAGGGAUCCUUGAUUAUCUUUUGACUAACUUUAUCUUUUGACUAACUUUAUUUGUCUGCUGACUUUUUAUUCUCAACA